rnacentral:rRNA from 1 species
GGUAUGGGAUGAGCUUGCGUCCGAUUAGCUAGUUGGCGGGGCAACGGCCCACCAAGGCGACGAUCGGUAGCCGGCCUGAGAGGGUGAUCGGCCACAUUGGGACUGAGAUACGGCCCAGACUCCUACGGGAGGCAGCAGUAGGGAAUAUUGCACAAUGGGGGAAACCCUGAUGCAGCAACGCCACGUGUGGGAAGAAGCAUUUCGGUGUGUAAACCACUGUCGUGAGGGAAUAAUACGCGGUUUCGGCCGCGGGGGAAUGUACCUCGAAAGGAAGCACCGGCAAACUUCGUGCCAGCAGCCGCGGUAAUACGAGGGGUGCAAGCGUUGUUCGGAAUCACUGGGCGUAAAGGGAGCGUAGGCGGAUGUUCAAGCGGAUUGUACAAUACCGGGGCCCAACCCCGGACCUGCAGUCCGAACUGGAUAUCUUGGAUAGUUCAGGGGCAGGC